AGAAUCAACGCUGGCGGCGUGCCUAACACAUGCAAGUCGAACGAGAAAGUGGAGCAAUCCAUGAGUAAAGUGGCGCACGGGUGAGUAACACGUGACUAACCUACCCUUGAGUGGGGGAUAAACCUAGAGAAAUCUGGGCUAAUACCGCAUAAUACCUUCGGGUCAAAGGAGCAAUUCGCUUAAGGAGGGGGUCGCGGCCGAUUAGUUAGUUGGCGGGGUAAUGGCCCACCAAGACUGUGAUCGGUAUCCGGCCUGAGAGGGCGCACGGACACACUGGAACUGAAACACGGUCCAGACUCCUACGGGAGGCAGCAGUGGGAAUUUUGCGCAAUGGGGGAAACCCUGACGCAGCAACGCCGCGUGGAGGAUGAAGCCCUUGGGGCGUAAACUCCUUUCGAUCGGGAAGAUAAUGACGGUACCGAGAGAAAGAAGCCCCGGCUAACUUCGUGCCAGCAGCCGC
rnacentral:rRNA from 1 species